rnacentral:tRNA from 1 species
GCUCUGGUGGUGCAGUCGGUUAGCAUAUCCAAAAUAAGCCUGUAGAAGAAAAUGCUGUGAGGAGGACUUGGGUUCAAAUCCCAACUAGAGCA